GAACGGCUGGCGGCGUGCCUAAUACAUGCAAGUCGAACGCACAGCGAAAGGUGCUUGCACCUUUCAAGUGAGUGGCGAACGGGUGAGUAACACGUGGAUAACCUACCUCAAGGUUGGGGAUAACAUUUGGAAACAGAUGCUAAUACCGAAUAAAACUUAGUAUCGCAUGAUACCAGGUUAAAAGGCGCUACGGCGUCACCUAGAGAUGGAUCCGCGGUGCAUUAGUUAGUUGGUGGGGUAAAGGCUUACCAAGACAAUGAUGCAUAGCCGAGUUGAGAGACUGAUCGGCCACAUUGGGACUGAGACACGGCCCAAACUCCUACGGGAGGCUGCAGUAGGGAAUCUUCCACAAUGGGCGAAAGCCUGAUGGAGCAACGCCGCGUGUGUGAUGAAGGCUUUCGGGUCGUAAAGCACUGUUGUAUGGGAAGAACAGCUAGAGUAGGGAAUGACUUUAGUUUGACGGUACCAUACCAGAAAGGGACGGCUAAAUACGUG
rnacentral:rRNA from 1 species